AGGGCCUGGCACACAGAGGGUGCUGAAGUUUGUUGAUUGACUGAAUGGACUGAGACCACGGAACUCUGAAAGACGAAAUAAUUAGACUUGCAUCAUCUGACAAGGAAGCAAAGGAGCUGACAUUCAUGAAGCCCUUUGUUGGAUGCUGGGCACACGGAAAAGUCCACUGGUGAGAAUCCAGCUCUGGACGUGCGCUGACCAGAUGAGGUCACAGCCCUGCCACAUCCCAGCAGGGUGACUGUGACUAAAUCUCUUAACCUGUCCGGGCUUCAGCUUCUCCAUCUGCACAUUGGGAGACGUAACUCACAGACUUGUCCUGAGGAUUAAAGGAGAUAAUUCAAGCUCUUAGUAUAGUGCCCGGCCCCAAGAAAAAAAUACACCAAAA